UGAUGAAGGCCUUCGGGUUGUAAAGCCCUGUCGGGAGGGAAGAAUUUUGACGGUACCUCCCAAGAAAGCACCGGCUAACCCCGUGCCAGCAGCCGCGGUAAUACGGGGGGUGCGAGCGUUGCUCGGAAUCACUGGGCGUAAAGCGUACGCAGGCUGUUGUACAAGUCGGGUGUGAAAGCCCGGGGCUCAACCCCGGAAUUGCGCCCGAGACUGUAUGACUUGAAUGCGGGAGAGGGAAGCGGAAUUCCUGGUGUAGAGGUGAAAUUCGUAGAUAUCAGGAGGAACACCAGUGGCGAAAGCGGCUUCCUGGCCCGACAUUGACGCUCAUGUACGAAAGCGCGGGGAGCAAACAGG
rnacentral:rRNA from 1 species